rnacentral:rRNA from 1 species
GGGGGAAUAUUGCACAAUGGGCGCAAGCCUGAUGCAGCCAUGCCGCGUGUAUGAAGAAGGCCUUCGGGUUGUAAAGUACUUUCAGCGGGGAGGAAGGCGAUAAGGUUAAUAACCUUGUCGAUUGACGUUACCCGCAGAAGAAGCACCGGCUAACUCCGUGCCAGCAGCCGCGGAAAUACGGAGGGUGCAGGCGUUAAUCGGAAUUACUGGGCGUAAAGCGCACGCAGGCGGUCUGUCAAGUCGGAUGUGAAAUCCCCGGGCUCAACCUGGGAACUGCAUUCGAAACUGGCAGGCUAGAGUCUUGUAGAGGGGGGUAGAAUUCCAGGUGUAGCGGUGAAAUGCGUAGAGAUCUGGAGGAAUACCGGUGGCGAAGGCGGCCCCCUGGACAAAGACUGACGCUCAGGUGCGAAAGCGUGGGGAGCAAACA